AGUGAACGCUGGCGGUAGGCCUAACACAUGCAAGUCGAACGGCAGCACAGUAAGAGCUUGCUCUUACGGGUGGCGAGUGGCGGACGGGUGAGGAAUACAUCGGAAUCUACUUUUUCGUGGGGGAUAACGUAGGGAAACUUACGCUAAUACCGCAUACGACCUACGGGUGAAAGCAGGGGAUCUUCGGACCUUGCGCGAUUGAAUGAGCCGAUGUCGGAUUAGCUAGUUGGCGGGGUAAAGGCCCACCAAGGCGACGAUCCGUAGCUGGUCUGAGAGGAUGAUCAGCCACACUGGAACUGAGACACGGUCCAGACUCCUACGGGAGGCAGCAGUGGGGAAUAUUGGAAAAGGGGCGCAAGCCUGAUCCAGCCAUACCGCGUGGGUGAAGAAGGCCUUCGGGUUGUAAAGCCCUUUUGUUGGGAAAGAAAAGCAGCAGGUUAAUACCCCGCUGUUCUGACGGUACCCAAAGAAUAAGCACCGGCUAACUUCGU
rnacentral:rRNA from 1 species